rnacentral:rRNA from 1 species
AAUCAACGCUGGCGGCGUGCCUAACACAUGCAAGUCGAACGCGAAAGCCCCUUCGGGGGCAAGUAGAGUGGCGUCCGGGUGAGUAACACGUGGGUAAUCUACCUCCGGGUGGGGAAUAACUCGCCGAAAGGUGGGCUAAUACCGCAUAAUGGCAGCGGCACCGAAUGGUGAUUAGUUGUUAAAGCGGGGGACCUUAGGGCCUCGCGUCUGGAGAGGAGCCUGCGGCAGAUUAGCUUGNGGUAGGGUAAUGGCCUACCAAGGCUGCGAUCUGUAGCUGGUCUGAGAGGACGGCCAGCCACACUGGCACUGACACACGGGCCAGACUCCUACGGGAGGCAGCAGUGGGGAAUUUUGGGCAAUGGGCGAAAGCCUGACCCAGCAACGCCGCGUGAAGGAGGAAAUCCUUCGGGAUGUAAACUUCACAAGCAACGGGAGAGCGCGCAGGGUCGAAUAAACUCUGCGUCCGACGGUACCUUGCGUAAGCCACGGCUAAC